GACGGAGGAUGCAAGUGUUCUCCGGAAUCACUGGGCGUAAAUCGUCUGUAGGUGGUUUAAAAAGUCCACUGUUAAAAAUUGAAGCUUAACUUCAAAGAUGCCGUGGAAACUUUUAAACUUGAGUAUGGUAGGGGUAGAGGGAAUUUCCAGUGGAGCGGUGAAAUGCGUAGAUAUUGGAAAGACCACCAAUGGCGAAGGCACUCUACUGGGCCAUUACUGACACUGAGAGACGAAAGCUAGGGGAGCAAAUGGG
rnacentral:rRNA from 1 species